GAUGAACGCUGGCGGCGUGCCUAAUACAUGCAAGUCGAGCGAACAGACGAGGAUCUUGCUCCUCUGACGUUAGCGGCGGACGGGUGAGUAACACGUGUAUAACCUACCUAUAAGACUGGGAUAACUUCGGGAAACCGGAGCUAAUACCGGAUAAUAUAUUGAACCGCAUGGUUCAAUAGUGAAAGACGGUUUUGCUGUCACUUAUAGAUGUAUCCGCGCCGCAUUAGCUAGUUGGUAAGGUAACGGCUUACCAAGGCAACGAUGCGUAGCCGAUCUGAGAGGGUGAUCGGCCACACUGGAACGGAGACACGGUCCAGACUACUACGGGAGGCAGCAGUAGGGAAUCUUCCGCAAUGGGCGAAAGCCUGACGGAGCAACGCCGCGUGAGUGAUGAAGGUCUUCGGAUCGUAAAACUCUGUUAUUAGGGAAGAACAAAUGUGUAAGUAACUAUGCACGUCUUGACGGUACCUAAUCAGAAAGCCACGGCUAACUACGUG
rnacentral:rRNA from 1 species